GUGUCACAAUAAAGCUUCCUUAUGAUGACUCUUGGAGUAGUUCUUUACUACCAGCAUCCAACUGAACCAGCAGGACAGGUAAUAAGCCAUGCCUGGGCCACAAGUUGAUGAACUACUGACCAAAGCUCUGACUAAGGCUCUUGGAAGCUGCAUCUCUAUAUAUGGAGUGGGACUGGAAACUUCACUGACUCUCCCUGCCACCUCCCUCUCUGGAGAACUCAUGGGUCAGAUCUCUGAAUCAUGUGUUUCAGUGGUGUUUCAAUGCUUGUUGACUUUAAGAGAAGAAAAAGAAGAGAAGGAAAGAGAAAAAGAAGAGGGUCAAAAGAUCUCCUUUGGGGAAAUCAUCUCUGCUAACAUGUCAUGAAGAGGAUAAGAAACCAAUGAAAAUGACAGAAGAGUUGUUGGAAAAAGACAUACAUGUAUAUGUAUAAAGAAGGAGGCUAGAUACUUGUGAAUGUGGAAGUUGAAUACCUGAUCUGUGUUAAGCUGAUAAAGGAACAAAUCACUGCUGCUGGCUCUAAGAAGGGGGAACAGCAAAGACAUACUGUUUCCAAUCUUUUGAGGCUUUCAGAAGACCUUUUUUGCUAAACCAAGGGGUAAAAUAAAAUCCUUUUCUUAUCCCUGUU